rnacentral:miRNA from 1 species
CACUUCGGUAAGCACAACCCACC